rnacentral:rRNA from 1 species
UACGUAGGGGGCAAGCGUUGUCCGGAAUUAUUGGGCGUAAAGGGUGCGUAGGCGGGUCUUUAAGUCAGGGGUGAAAUCCUGGAGCUCAACUCCAGAACUGCCUUUGAUACUGACGAUCUGGAGAUCGGGAGAGGUUGGUGGAAUUCCGAGUGUAGAGGUGAAAUUCGUAGAUAUUCGGAGGAACACCAGAAGCGAAGGCGGCCAACUGGCCCGAUACUGACGCUGAGGCGCGAAAGCGUGGGGAGCAAACAGG